UACGUAGGUGGCAAGCGUUGUCCGGAUUUACUGGGCGAAAGAGCGCGCAGGCGGUCGUUCAAGUCGCGUGUGAAAGCCCCCGGCUCAACUGGGGAGGGUCACGCGAUACUGAUCGACUCGAAGGCAGGAGAGGGAAGUGGAAUUCCCGGUGUAGUGGUGAAAUGCGUAGAUAUCGGGGAGGAACACCAGUGGCGAAGGCGGCUCACUGGUCCGGUACUGACGCUGAGGUGCGAAAGCGUGGGGGAGCAAACAGGG
rnacentral:rRNA from 1 species